UGCAGUAAUGAAAGAAAUCACUGACACUAUUUCAAAUUCAUAGUUUCUUCUGAAGGUUUAAAGAAGAUGAAAACAACAAAGAUCUGUAAGAUACAAACUACAGAGAAAGGAUCAAGCCUUAUUUGGGUAGAGAUGCCAAAAAGAACAAAUGUCAAAGAAAAAAGAGAAAGAACAAAGGAGGCAAAUGGAAAGGAAACAACAUAUGAGGAAGAAACUUCAGCAAGAAAAGAAGGGAAGUCAGAGCAGGAAGGUGCAUACUAUACUGAAAACCUGCUUUGAAACCUCAAGAUAAAUUCUCAAUUCUACUGAUUAAAUGAAGUUUUUGUGUGCCCCAAAUUUUCAGUAAAAGUGACUAAUAAAAUUAACUUCAAAGAACUUGCUUGAGAUUUCAAUUUCUUCAGAAAAGUCCCAUGUCAAUACAUUCUGUGAUGUCCAGAAUAAAUACUGUUUCAUCAUCAUUUGGUUCACAUUUCUGUGAGUUUGACCUAAGAAGAUGUAGGGCUGCUAUGCACAG
ensembl:lncRNA